GACGAACGCUGGCGGCGUGCCUAAUACAUGCAAGUAGAACGCUGAAGGAGGAGCUUGCUCUUCUGGAUGAGUUGCGAACGGGUGAGUAACGCGUAGGUAACCUGCCUGGUAGCGGGGGAUAACUAUUGGAAACGAUAGCUAAUACCGCAUAACAGUAGAUGUUGCAUGACAUUUGCUUAAAAGGUGCAAUUGCACCACUACCAGAUGGACCUGCGUUGUAUUAGCUAGUUGGUGGGGUAACGGCUCACCAAGGCGACGAUACAUAGCCGACCUGAGAGGGGGAUCGGCCACCCUGGGACUGAGACACGGCCCAGACUCCUACGGGAGGCAGCAGUAGGGAAUCUUCGGCAAUGGACGGAAGUCUGACCGAGCAACGCCGCGUGAGUGAAGAAGGUUUUCGGAUCGUAAAGCUCUGUUGUAAGAGAAGAACGAGUGUGAGAGUGGAAAGUUCACACUGUGACGGUAUCUUACCAGAAAGGGACGGCUAACUACGUG
rnacentral:rRNA from 1 species